rnacentral:lncRNA from 1 species
GGGAAGUAACAGGAAGGAAAGCUAGAUCACAGGGAUCCUGCUGAGCUUAAGCCAUUUAGAUCUGAUCUUAUGGGCUUGCAGAUAGGUAACUGGGGCAAUCGUGAUAAAACUAAUGUUUUACAAAAAUGAUCCAUUAGUUUGUAGUAUGCUUUGAAAACGGGAGAGUCUUAAAGCAGUGGAAUAAGUUAAACCGUAGAACUACUUCUGGCAAGAGAUAAGGAAAAGGCCUGAUUUCUGAGGGCUUGAGAAAAGGAAAUGAGCAAGGGAAAGGAAAAGAGCACUCUUAAAAUGCACUGAGAAAAAGGAGAGUCU